UCGUCAGCUCGUGCCGUGAGGUGUCGGCUUAAAGUGCCAUAACGAGCGCAACCCCUCUCCGUAGUUGCCAACAGGCUAAGCUGGGCAUUAAAAAAAACACUGCCUCCGUAAGGUGCGAGGAAGGUGGGGAUGACGUCAAAUCAGCACGGCCCUUACGUCCGGGGCUACACACGUGUUACAAUGGGGGGUACAGAGAGUCGGCUGCCCGCAAGGUCAGUCCAAUCAUGAAAGCCUCCCUCAGUUCGGACUGGGGUCUGCAACCCGACCCCACGAAGCUGGAUUCGCUAGUAAUCGCGCAUCAGCCAUGGAAACGGUGAAUACGUUCCCGGGCCUGAAACACACCGCCCGUCAAGCCAUGAAAGCCGGGGGUGCCUGAAGUCCGUGACCGCAAGGAUCGGCCUAGGCCUAUCGAACGGGUGAUUGGGGCUAAGUCGUAACAAGGUAACCGUA
rnacentral:rRNA from 1 species